rfam:Schizophyllum commune H4-8 unplaced genomic scaffold SCHCOscaffold_12, whole genome shotgun sequence.
ACACCGGUGGUGAAGUGGUUAUCAUGCUUGCCUUCCAUUUAUUCAGUGAGCAAGCGGCACGGGUUCGAUUCCCGUCCGGUGUA